rnacentral:rRNA from 1 species
UCUGAGUGCUUCUCUUACGAGAAGCUUUUGCCUAGAUUGAAUCUCUAGGAGAAUAAGUACUGGGUAAAUCCUGUGCCAGCCGCCGCGGUAAUACAGGUGGUAUAAGUAGUAUCCACGAAUAUUGAGUCUAAAGCGUUCGUAGCGGGCUUGGACAGUUCUCUGUGAAAUCUUCAGGCUCAACCUGAAGGCGCGCAGGGAAUACUACCAGGCUUGGGAGUGGGGGAGGCCAAGGGUACUUGAGGGGGAGGAGUAAAAUCCUGUAAUCCUUCAAGGACCUUCAGUAGCGAAGGCGCUUGGCCAAAACACGUCCGACCGUGAGGAACGAAGGCUGGGGGAGCAAAUCGGAUUAGAUACCCGAGUAGUCCUAGCAGUAAAUGAUGCAGACUAGGCAUUGCAAUGGCUUCGAGCUGUUGCAGGGCCGUAGGGAAGCUGAUAAGUCUGCCACUUGGGGAGUACGGUCGCAAGACUAAAACUUAAAGGAAUUGGCGGGGG